UACGUAGGGGGCAAGCGUUGUCCGGAAUCAUUGGGCGUAAAGAGCACGUAGGCGGUCCGGUAAGUCGGUUGUGAAAACUGGGGGCUCAACCCUCAGAGGCCGACCGAUACUGUCGGGCUAGAGUCCGGAAGAGGCGAGUGGAAUUCCUGGUGUAGCGGUGAAAUGCGUAGAUAUCUGGAGGAAUACCGGUGGCGAAGGCGGCAUCCUGGACCGACAUUGACGCUGAUGAGCGAAAGCUAGGGGAGCAAACGGG
rnacentral:rRNA from 1 species